rfam:Ictidomys tridecemlineatus contig055075, whole genome shotgun sequence.
GUUGGUUUGGCUCAGUGGUAGAAUACAUGCUUAGCAUGUAUUAGGCCCUGGGUUCAAUCCCCAGUACCACA